rnacentral:rRNA from 1 species
GAUGAACGCUGGCGGCGUGCCUAAUACAUGCAAGUCGAGCGAACAGACGAGGAGCUUGCUCCUCUGACGUUAGCGGCGGACGGGUGAGUAACACGUGGAUAACCUACCUAUAAGACUGGGAUAACUUCGGGAAACCGGAGCUAAUACCGGAUAAUAUAUUGAACCGCAUGGUUCAAUAGUGAAAGACGGUUUUGCUGUCACUUAUAGAUGGAUCCGCGCCGCAUUAGCUAGUUGGUAAGGUGACGGCUUACCAAGGCAACGAUGCGUAGCCGACCUGAGAGGGUGAUCGGCCACACUGGAACUGAGACACGGUCCAGACUCCUACGGGAGGCAGCAGUAGGGAAUCUUCCGCAACGGGCGAAAGCCUGACGGAGCAACGCCGCGUGAGUGAUGAAGGUCUUCGGAUCGUAAAACUCUGUUAUUAGGGAAGAACAAAUGUGUAAGUAACUAUGCACGUCUUGACGGUACCUAAUCAGAAAGCCACGGCUAACUACGUG